rnacentral:tRNA from 1 species
ACGUUCGUAGCUCAAUUGGUUAGAGCACCACUAUGACAUAGUGGUGGUUAGUGGUUCAAGUCCACUCGAACGUA